rnacentral:lncRNA from 1 species
AAUAAAUCUUUAAAUUAAAAACUUAUAAUUUGUGAAAUAAUUUUCUCAAAAUUUUAAUUAGCGUAAUAUUGUAAAAAAUUUAUAAUUUAUUAAAUAUUUCUAUCAAAAUUUUAUUUAGUAAAAUAUUUUAUCAAAAAAAAAUAAUUAGAAAAUAGUGAACCGUUCACUAACUUUAAUAAAUUUUAAAAAACGAUAAAUUAUUUAUUAUUAUUUUUGUACAAAAAAAAGCUAUAAAUAAUUCACUAUCCUAAAAAAACCAACAAUUUACCAUUUUAUAAAGACGGUAAAAAAUUCACCCACUAAAUACUUAAAAGAGCUCG